GCAUUGUAUGGCCAGUAGGCCAUACAGCAGAUUCAGGAUACAGAGGGAGCCACAACAAUGUGUAUAUCUGUGCACCUGUUGCGUGGAUGGUCCCCAAAGGGAACCGGAAGACUGUGGCAAAUCCUUUGGAGCUGGAAAUAGAGGAAGUUUGAACACUGGGAAAGAAAAAUAUUGAUUGUAUAAUUAACUGUGACCUGCAAGAGGAGCAACUGCCAAAAUUGGUUUUCUUCGAUUGUUUUUGUUGUUGUUGUUGUUGUUGUUGUUGUUUUUUGUUUUGGCCUGUAAGAGGUUGAAUGAAAAGCAAGCAGUAUAAGGAGAUAUUUAAAGGGCAAUAGUCACUAAAAUUUAAAUUAUCAACAUGAUUAUAUUUCUCCAUAAAUUACUUUAAUUGCAGGUUUAUUCUAAUAGGAAUGUAGUCAUGAGAAAAACUAGACAAAAAAUUUUGGAAAAAAUUUAGAGUCUGAUAUGUGAAUUAUUUUAUAACCUUUAGUCUAUAUUUUUCAUCAUUUUAAAGGUUCUUAAUAUGUUACUAACGACUUCAUUAUCUUAACAGAAUACACAAUAAAUGAACACAGAUGUCAUUCACAAAGAAAGUAAAGUCAUUUAUUCUGGAUUUUGAAGCUUCUUUACAGAUUGAAAUUAAAUUUGGAACUUUAAUUAUGCUUACAAAGCAUUGAAAUAUUCAUCGCAGCCCUGUCAACAGGAUACUAUGUUCUCCUUUAAAAAACAAAUUCAAAGAACCUAUGUUCUUUAACUAAUUUGCUCCUCUCCCCUAAAUAAAGAGGCAAAGAUACCCUACUUGUCUGCCCAGAAAGCCAUGACCAAAUGCGACUGAGUCAGUGACCUAAAAUAACAGCUCAUUUUCACUUAAUGUCCCAGAAGAAAAUACUGCCAGGGUUGGUUUCUGAUAAGAACAAAUCUGGGACAGAAAUUUUGACUGUGAUUUGGAAACCCUACUUUUCCUCUUGAGGCUCUGAAUAUCUACUGGAGGUGCACACAUAGAGUUACCUCUCCCCACUGUUCAGACAUUUUGGCUAAGGAGAACAAGCCUCAGAAUAUGUGAUGGGACCAGGGAAAUACACAAUGGGAUGUCCUUCCCAACUUAGUAACUGACUUGAAAUCAAACAAUGUGGAGAGUGAGAAGCAGUCAGCAAUGAGCUGUUUCCUUGAAUGCUUCUUGAACACACUUCUUUCUGAAACAUUCAGUGACAUGAAUCUGGUAUUAAUUCUGAACCUGCUUCCAUUCUUCUAUGAGAUCUCACGUGAACCAUUACAUAUCCUAAAAACUUUAAAGCUCCUGAACAAUAUAAGAAAUCCCCACUACCUAUAUCCUACAAUGAGUCAAAAUAACUAAGGCAUUGCUGCUGGAGCAGAUUGAUGUUUUUAUCACCACCCUAGAGAAGAAUUAAGAGACAUAGGUUGUCAACAAUGACUACCACCCUUAGAAAACAUUUGGGAAAAUAAAGUUGUUAGUGAAGC